rnacentral:rRNA from 1 species
GUGCAAUUAUCACAAGGAACCGAUGAAUUUCGUUGGAGUCUACAAGUGAAUGGUAAAUUCAUGGUCGACUCUAUGUAUAGUGCUUUGAUCCAGUCAGAGGUGCUAGUCGAUAACAACAAGAUGAUUUGGAAGAAGAAGAUACCAAUUAAUAAUAAAAGCUUUACAUGGUAUCUUCAUCGAGGAGUCAUUCUUACCAAAGACAAUCUUAUUAAGAGGAAUUGGCAUGGAAAUACGCAAUGUGUGUUUUGUCAUGACGACAAGACGAUAAAACACUUGUUUUUCCAAUGCAAAUUGGCUCGUUCUGUAUGGUCAGUCAUCCAAGUAGCUUUGCUUGUAUCCUCCAUGUAGUGUCACUAA